UGCGGAAGGAUCAUUAUUGAAUACACUUGGUCGGGUUGUUGCUGGCCCCUUUGGGGGCAUGUGCACGCCUGCCACCAGUUUUCAACCCCAUGUGCACUUAAUGUAGGCUACAGAUAUCUCUCGAGGAACAACAUCACUCGGAUUGAGGAAUUGCUGUGCAUAUAUGCUUGGCUAUUCCUGUGUUUGUAGUCUAUGAUUUUUCACUAUACACCGAAUGUAUGGAUUGGGAAUGUAUUAAUGAUGAUAUUUAAUACAACUUUCAACAACGGAUCUCUUGGCUCUCGCAUCGAUGAAGAACGCAGCGAAAUGCGAUAAGUAGUGUGAAUUGCAGAAUUCAGUGAAUCAUCGAAUCUUUGAACGCACCUUGCGCUCCUUGGUAUUCCGAGGAGCAUGCCUGUUUGAGUGUCAUUAAAUUCUCAACUAUACAAGUUGUAUCAACUUUGUAUAGCUUGGAUAUUGGGAUUAUGCAGGCUUGUUAUCACGAGUCAGCUAUCCUUAAAUGCAUUAGCAAAGCUUGUGUUGCUGAUCUUUGGUGUGAUAAUUAUCUACGCCGUUGAAAAGCAUCAUAAUGUUUCCAAUGGCUUAGCUUCUAAUCGUCUAUGUGACAAUUAUCUUGACAAUCUGACCUCAAAUCAGGUAGGACUACCCGCUGAACUUAAGCAUAUCAAUAGCCGGGAGGGA
rnacentral:rRNA from 1 species